AAGACUAUACUUUCAGGGAUCAUUUCUAUAGUUUGUUACAAUAAGGUAAUGUAUUUUAUUUCUGUAUCAACCAAACAGUGUUAUUAUGCCAUGUAAGAUUAUAAUCUCUUUUUCUGUGCCGU
rnacentral:snoRNA from 1 species